rnacentral:tRNA from 1 species
AAUAGUAGCAAAGUUGGUCUAUGCGCCGGAUUGAAGCUCCGGAGAUACAGGUUCAAAUCCUGUCUGUUCC